AGAUUUUCUUAUAUUAAGCUCAAAUUUGGAGAAUCGUCGUUUUUUAUAACCUACUUUCUUAAAAAAAAUCAGCAGCAGAAUCGCUGACCCAAGCCCGCAGGCUGCGCUCGAAAAGUAUUGGACGUACCCAUUUGGGAAAAGUUUCAUUU